rnacentral:rRNA from 1 species
UACAGAGGGGGGCAAGCGUUAUUCGGAAUUAUUGGGCGUAAAGGGCGCGUAGGCGGCUUGGCAAGUGGAAGGUGAAAUCCCUCGGCUUAACCGAGGAACUGCCCUCCAAACUGCUUGGCUUGAGACCGGGAGAGGUGAGUGGAAUUCCCAGUGUAGCGGUGAAAUGCGUAGAUAUUGGGAGGAACACCAGUGGCGAAGGCGGCUCACUGGACCGGUACUGACGCUGAGGCGCGAAAGCGUGGGGAGCAAACGGG